UUCGCACAGGACCCCCCCCCCCCCAAAACCCUAAAGCUGCCCCUAGACGAGAGCUUCACAUCCUCCCGUUAACCCUGCGGGGAGAGCAGGGCAAGGAGCUGUGAUCUAAGGCCUGAUCCCCUCCCCCUAUCCCAGUUACACAGGCUUCGUGUCCUCCUAUUAACCCUGUGGAGAGAGGACAAAAGCUAAACUAUGAUCCUGCCCUGCUUCCCCCAUCCCGUUCCCAGCUACAUGAGCUUCACAUCCUCCUGUUAACGCUGAAAAGGAGACGAGAACAAGAGCUGCUGAUGAUUGAGACUCUUGGAUUUUUGGUGUCUCUGACCAGUUUUGCACAAAGAAUAUGAUCUGUUUGAGGGGAGAUCUUGAGAACUGUUGGGUAUUCCCAGAACUGGGGCCCUUUGCUUAGAUUCACAUCCUGCCCACCUGUCCUCCGCUGGCUUUCUGCUGAUGCUUUUGCUGUUGUUUUAUAUUCCAAGCAAGGAUCCUUGCGAAUGCUUCAGCUCCAGAUUUAGGUCAUCUCCGAUGGAAGAAGGAAGACCUAAAAAGUAAAAAUAAGAUUUCAACGUGCCUUUAAAAGUGACAACUCUUUUGGAAAAGAAAGCACUGGGCUCCCAUCUGCAGAGAGCUGACGAUCCCCUCCAGAACUGCUGAGUCAUCAAAGAACACCCGUCUUCCGCAGGACCAGGCCUGAGGAGAGAAGCCUUGCAUAGCUGGAGUUCACCUCAUAAAUCACCCAGGCAAAUGGAACUCGCGGCAGAAGAAGAUACAAAAUGAGACUUGUUGCAAUUUAGACUCAAUGAACUUUGUGGUGUUCUGCUGUGGAAGUGUGCUUGGCAUGAGGCAAGCGGAGUCACCAAAUGCACCUUCAUGAUGGAGGGACUUCCACGGGCUCAGCAAUCCCGUGGUGGUAUUUAAUAGCUGCUCCAUAUUCCUUUAACAGUGUCUUUUGCAAACUGCUGCCAUCUUCUCGCUGUUAUGCUUCCUCUGUUGUGCUUC